rnacentral:rRNA from 1 species
GACGAACGCUGGCGGCGCGCUUAACACAUGCAAGUCGAGCGAUGAAACUUUAACAGAACCCUUCGGGGCGAAGAUAAAGUGGAUUAGCGGCGGACGGGUGAGUAACACGUGAGUAACCUGCCUUAGACAUUGGGAUAGCCUCGGGAAACCGGGAUUAAUACCAAAUAAAAUCAUAAUGACACAUGUCAUAACGAUCAAAACUCCGGUGGUCUAAGAUGGACUCGCGUCCCAUUCGCUAGUUGGUAGAGUAAAAGCCUACCAAGGCGACGAUGGGUAGCCGGCCUGAGAGGGUGAACGGCCACAUUGGAACUGAGAAACGGUCCAAACUCCUACGGGAGGCAGCAGUGGGGAAUAUUGCACAAUGGAGGGAAUUCUGAUGCAGCGACGCCGCGUGAACGAAGAAGGCUUUCGAGUCGUAAAGUUCUUUUAUAUGGGAAGAUAAUGACGGUACCAUAAGAAAAAGCCCCGGCUAACUACGUG